GAACUUCAUGACAAAGUUUGCAAGUUAAAGCCAUUCAAGAAGGUCACAGGUUUCAGGUCGCUGAUGGAGCUGGUGAUAAGAUCAUCACAGUUCAAAUCGUAAAUGUGUACAACAAACAGCAAGGGACCCAACGGAACACCACUGGACGCAGUCUUCCAGUCAGAAAAAAAGCAUGUUCAACCAUCAUCCUCCGUCUCCUGCCACUAAGCCAAUUUUGGAUUGAAUCGGCCAAUUGAUCUGGAUCCCAUGGGCGCUUAUCUUCUUGACCAGUCUCCAAUGCGACACUUUGUCAAAAGCCUUACUGAAGUCCAUGCAGACUACAUCAACUGAUCUACCCUCAUCUGUAGACUUAGUCAGCUCCUUGAAAAUCUUAAUUAAAACCAGUCAGACAAGAUCUCCCCCUGACAAAACCAAGCUGAUUGUCCUUGAUGAAUCCUUGUCUCUUCAAAUCUAGGUUAAUCAGUCCCUUCGAAUAUUUUCCAAAAAUAUUUCCUGACAAUGUAUUCUUCCAGGAGAGGUGGAAUACCACAUCACAAACCCAAGGCUAAUUUUUUUUUAAAUCUGGAGAAUUCCUCCCUGUUUCCUCGCAAUGACCGAAAAAAGACCACAUUAACCAUGACUCCAUCAGGACACUUCAGGUCAAAUGAAGAGUCAUACUGGAUCCAAAAUGUUAACUCUCUUUCUCUCUCCACACAUGCUAAUAGACCUGCUCAGUUUCACCAAUAUUUCCAGGGCCAAUUUCCUAACUACUCAGGACUGCAGAUUAUCAGGCUUUGGGGAAUUUGUCACCCUUUAAUCCCUCUAAUUUGACAUUAACUUAAUACAUUAAUUUUAUUUCCUUAUUAAUACUGAUUUCCUUCAAUUCCACUCUCUCACUGGACCAUUGGUUCCCUCACAUUUCUGGGCAGUCGUUUGUGCUUUAUUUUGUAAAGACAGAAUCAAAAUAUAUUUCAAUUCAUCUACCA